GACGUAGGGCGCGAGCGUUGUCCGGAUUUAUUGGGCGUAAAGAGCUCGUAGGCGGCUUGUUGCGUCGACUGUGAAAACCUGCAGCUUAACUGUGGGCGUGCGGUCGAUACGGGCAUCACUGGAGUUCGGCAGGGGAGACUGGAAUUCCUGGUGUAGCGGUGAAAUGCGCAGAUAUCAGGAGGAACACCGGUGGCGAAGGCGGGUCUCUGGGCAGUAACUGACGCUGAGGAGCGAAAGCGUGGGGAGCGAACAGG
rnacentral:rRNA from 1 species